rnacentral:rRNA from 1 species
CAAUUAGCGGUAAAUACAACAUAUUCUUAAGUAAAAAAGAAUAUAGAUAAAAAUAACAAAUAAGAGAAUAUAUUAAGAUGUUAUUAUAUAUAAUGUCUUUUUCCCUGUUCUUCUUGUAUUGUUUUUUUAUUCUAUUUCUUUUUUUACGUAAGAAUGUAUUUACUUGAUUGUAAAGCUUCUUAGAGGAACAUUGUGUGUCUAACACAAGGAAGUUUAAGGCAACAACAGGUCUGUGAUGUCCUUAGAUGAACUAGGCUGCACGCGUGCUACACUGAUAUAUAUAACGAGUUAUUAAAAGUAUAUCUUUGUAUAUAUGUAUUCUGUAUAUAUAUACAAAAGGUAUAAUUUUCCUCCACUGAAAAGUGUAGGUAAUCUUUAUCAAUAUAUAUCGUGAUGGGGAUAGAUUAUUGCAAUUAUUAAUCUUGAACGAGGAAUGCCUAGUAAGCAUGAUUCAUCAGAUUGU